rnacentral:rRNA from 1 species
GGGUGCGAUCAUACCAGCGUUAAUGCAUCGGAUCCCAUCAAAACUCCGUAGUUAAGCGAGCUUGGGCUAGAAUAGUACUGGGAUGGGUGACUUCCCAGGAAGUCCUAGUGUUGCACCCU